CCUACGGGCGGCAGCAGUGGGGAAUAUUGCACAAUGGGGGAAACCCUGAUGCAGCGACGCCGCGUGAGUGAAGAAGGAAUUCGGGAUGUAAAGCUCUAUCAGCAGGGAAGAAAAUGACGGUACCUGAGGAAGAAGCCCCGGCUAACUACGUGCCAGCAGCCGCGGUAAUACGUAGGGGGCAAGCGUUAUCCGGAUUUACUGGGUGUAAAGGGAGCGGAGACGGCGCUCCAAGUCAGAUGUGAAAGGCCGGGGCCCAACCCCGGGACUGCAUUGGAAACUGGCAUGCUGGAGUGCCGGAGGGGCCAGUGGACUUCCUAGUGUAGCGGUGACAUGCGUAGAUAUUAGGAGGAACACCAGUUGCGAAGGCGGCUCGCUGGACUGUACCUGACGUUGAGGCUCGAAAGCGUGGGGAGCAAACAGGAUUAGAUACCCCAGUAGUC
rnacentral:rRNA from 1 species